UCGGAUAUGGUGUAAAGGUAACAUAUCCGCCUCUCAUAUGCCCUGCAUAAGGGCGCGCGGUUGCUCGGGGUUCGAUUCCCCGUAUCCGAA